GCAGCGCGGGGCAACCUGGCGGCGAGUGGCGAACGGGUGAGUAAUAUAUCGGAACGUGCCCUGGAGUGGGGGAUAACGCAGCGAAAGUUGCGCUAAUACCGCAUACGAUCUAAGGAUGAAAGCGGGGGAUUCGCAAGAACCUCGUGCUCCUGGAGCGGCCGAUAUCUGAUUAGCUAGUUGGUGGGGUAAAGGCCUACCAAGGCAUCGAUCAGUAGCUGGUCUGAGAGGACGACCAGCCACACUGGAACUGAGACACGGUCCAGACUCCUACGGGAGGCAGCAGUGGGGAAUUUUGGACAAUGGGCGAAAGCCUGAUCCAGCAAUGCCGCGUGAGUGAAGAAGGCCUUCGGGUUGUAAAGCUCUUUUGUCAGGGAAGAAACGGUGAAGGCUAAUAUCCUUUGCUAAUGACGGUACCUGAAGAAUAAGCACCGGCUAACUACGUGCCAGCAGCCGCGGUAAUACGUAGGGUGCAAGCGUUAAUCGGAAUUACUGGGCGUAAAGCGUGCGCAGGCGGUUUUGUAAGUCUGUCGUGAAAUCCCCGGGCUCAACCUGGGAAUUGCGAUGGAGACUGCAAGGCUAGAAUCUGGCAGAGGGGGGUAGAAUUCCACGUGUAGCAGUGAAAUGCGUAGAGAUGUGGAGGAACACCGAUGGCGAAGGCAGCCCCCUGGGUCAAGAUUGACGCUCAUGCACGAAAGCGUGGGGAGCAAACAGGAUUAGAUACCCUGGUAGUCCACGCCCUAAACGAUGUCUACUAGUUGCCGGGUUUUAAUUAACUUGGUAACGCAGCUAACGCGUGAAGUAGACCGCCUGGGGAGUACGGUCGCAAGAUUAAAACUCAAAGGAAUUGACGGGGACCCGCACAAGCGGNGGAUGAUGUGGAUUAAUUCGAUGCAACGCGAAAAANCUUACCUACCCUNGAC
rnacentral:rRNA from 1 species